rnacentral:rRNA from 1 species
GAUGAACGCUGGCGGCGUGCCUAAUACAUGCAAGUCGAGCGAAUGGAUUAAGAGCUUGCUCUUAUGAAGUUAGCGGCGGACGGGUGAGUAACACGUGGGUAACCUGCCCAUAAGACUGGGAUAACUCCGGGAAAACGGGGCUAAUACCGGAUAACAUUUUGAACCGCAUGGUUCGAAAUUGAAAGGCGGCUUCCGCUGUCACUUAUGGAUGGACCCGCGUCGCAUUAGCUAGUUGGUGAGGUAACGGCUCACCAAGGCAACGAUGCGUAGCCGACCUGAGAGGGUGAUCGGCCACACUGGGACUGAGACACGGCCCAGACUCCUACGGGAGGCAGCAGUAGGGAAUCUUCCGCAAUGGACGAAAGUCUGACGGAGCAACGCCGCGUGAGUGAUGAAGGCUUUCGGGUCGUAAAACUCUGUUGUUAGGGAAGAACAAGUGCUAGUUGACUAAGCUGGCACCUUGACGGUACCUAACCAGAAAGCCACGGCUAACUACGUGCCAGCCGCCGCGGUAA